rnacentral:lncRNA from 1 species
AAGAAGUGCAUUUUUGGAGCAUUGCUGUGAGGAUUAAAUUAUAUUCAGUCUCAAAAUGUUAGAUGAUCACCUCCCUAUCUCAUCCUCAGCUCCCAAGUACUGGAUGGAACUCCUUCAUUCCAAAGAACACAGUUCCACUACUUUAUUCCUAUUUAAUAGGCAGUAUUUCUGUACAGUGACUAUACCAAACUAUACAAACUGUGUGCAUUAAUGCUUGUGAGCAUCUCUCUAUCUCUCUUUCUCUCUCUUUGCUCAGCUACCUGUUCUGGUGCAAUCUGCAGUGCACGAGCUAGAGGUAAAGGUGUCAGCUCUGGAGGUAAAGGUGCGUGAGCGAGAAGAGGAGGUGCAGCAGGUCCGAAAGGAUGCCCAGCGUAACAUACAUGAGCACCAGCAGGGAGCGCUUGAGCUGCAGCAGACCUUAAGAGACUUCCAGCAGCUAGGAAACGAGACCUCAGCCCUGCAAGAAGAGAACGCCCUGCUGCAGGAGACGGUGAGGCGUGAGUGUGAGGAGAGAGCUGAGCUCACAGCUGCCCUGACCCUGGCCAGAGAGCAGCUGCUAGGGCUCAGGAGGACAGUGACCGACCCCCAGAGCCUUACUCAGCCCUCCCUCCCCAGCCUGAGUCAUCCAGCUGUCAGAGACACGGUCGGCGGGGGCAAAAGCACAGCGUCCUGGCAUGGACCCUCCUCUAAAACACACACCCUGCCCAGACUCCACACAGACAGAGGCUUCUCAGUCAGCGAGGCACGGCAGCGGGUCAGCGUGGCCAUGGGCAGGAAGAACAAGCGCUGAGGCUCAAGAGGUGCCAUUUAUCAGGGACAGCGCAACAUCUCUCAAUAGUGAAGUUUCGCCCAUUCAAAUACUGUAUGUUUCAUAGGCAGAACAACCCUGCCCAUUAUUCAUCUAUUUUUUCUCCUCUAAAGUGUGUUCUCCAGUGAGGGAGCAGAUAAACUGCAACUUAUUAACACCAUGCCUGAUUCCAUGUGUGGGCUACUAAUGUUGCAUUAAAUUUCUUUAAUGCAACAUUAGUGUUUAAAAAAUUGAUGGGCUUUUGGAUUGUAGAAAGCAUUGACUGUAAAAAACUUGGAUGCCGUGACUCCAGUUCAGUCUGCAUAGUAGAGAGCAGAAUGUGUCUCAGACUGCCUUCAUUGAACAGCGAAUUUUUCAACAGUAAAAGUGCAGUUCAUGUAAGUUCCACGCUGUUCCAUAAAAUGAACAGAAAGGGUGCUGUGUGGGUUCUGCAGACAACCAAUCUCUUUCAGCCAAGGCUGUCAAUCACGUCUUUCCUAAGCGUAGCAUAGGGCUGCACGAUAUAUCGUUUAAGAAUCGCCAUCGCGAUGUGCACAUUCACAAUAGUCACAUUGCAGGACGAUGUGACUAUUGUGCGGUGCAGGAGUAACCGCAUGGCCUCCAUCCACAUGGUUGGGCACGUGCUUGUAAACGUGGGCAUGUGUUGAAAGCUGUGCACCUCAGUCCAGCAGUUUUGUGCAGAUAUUUCCAGUUACAGCUGUAUUCACAUAUUUAUUUUAUCUUUUUAAAAAUCCAUUUAAAUGCCUGAUUUAAGGGCUGAUUACUGCUGUUUUGUUUUCCUCGGGUUUUGAGUGCUCAGCGCUGACUCAGCUCUUGAUCGGUCGCGCGGUUGGGUGUGGGGCUUGUGACAUCAUGGGUCCUUCAUUGUUUAAUAUCAUGAUAUAUAUUGCAGAAAAAAUUUAAUUUGUUUUCAAUAUCGUGCAGCACUAGUUUGGCCCACCUUCUCAAGAUGUAGAAGAAUAAGGCGUAAAAACUGGUUUCUGGGGGUAAAAUUAAAAUAUGGUAAUAUUAGCAGAGAUACUGGAGAUAGACAGACACUUUAGAGGAGAAAAAUGAGUGGGGGCUAUUUUUUAUUAAACCAUACGGGGAUGGGCAGUUAUCAUACUGCAACCAGCCAGCAGAGGCACUAGACCUGUAGUGGCUUCACUUCCAAGAGACAUUGCACUUUCCAUGCUUAUAUACAGUCGUUUGCAGAAAGCAUCACUCACAAGAAUUUAACACACACACACUCACACACUCACACACACUCAUACAUAGGCAAAGAGGGCAUCCAUCUGGAGCUGUCUCAAAUGCACACACACACUGAAGUAUGCACGCAUACUCUCUGUCUCUCAGAGGAACAGGAAAGAGAGAGCGUGACAACUGAUCCCAAGCCACACACACAUCUAAACACUCCCCACCUCCCUUGGUACACAAAUGCGCUCAUUAAUACACACACAUGCACACACACACACACACACUUACACGGACAAACAACAGCCUUCUACAAGGUCUUUCUUUUUUCACACACUCUCCCCCGACACACACUCGCACAUAACUAGGAGACCAAAGGUCUGUCUCACGCACACACACAAACAUACACACUCUCCCAACCGCUGCCUCCCACAACCAACACACAACCCUGGAGCUGUCACGCAGUCACACACAUACACACAGAAAGAGAGAGAUAUGGUACAGUAUUUACAGGGACUGUGCUAAAAAAGUGUUUCCUGCUGUAACAAAUUCUUAGGCCAUUUGUUAAAGACUGCAUUUAUCAUGCAUUUGUAAAGAAUUAUGAAUUAUGGUUGCGUUUCGAAUAUAAAGCCCAAAUAUAAUGUCCAAAUAAAAUCUAAAAUGCAUGAAAAAAUAGGUCCUAU